AUGACAGAAACCGAAGCGCAGUUUUCAUCCGCUCCACUAGGCGGCGUGAGAGGGCUUCACUGUCAGAGCGACUCCUUUGCUGUUCUAGCCCCUACAAACCUGUACUUUUCCUGAGGUGAGCUCAGACUUCAUGCAUGUGUCAUGGACCGCACCUUCUGUUCAGCCAUCCGAAAUUAGUCGUUUUGUCAUCCGCUACCAUCCCACAAAACAACGACGAUGACACUCAGGAAGUCAACGUAGGAGGUGGCACCAAUAGCUUCAUCCUUCAGAACUUGCUGCCAAACACAGAGUAUCUGGUUAAAGUAGUGUGCGUCUAUGAUGACAAAGAGAGUGAGCCUGUAACUGGUAUUCAGAAAACAAAACUGGAUUCCCCGACAAAUCUGGACUUCUCUGAUGUUUCCACCAACUCAUUUACCGUGCACUGGAUGGCCCCACGUGCCGUCAUUACAGGUUACCGCCUACGCUAUCAGCCAACAAGGAAUGGCCGCCCUAAAAUUGAGAGACUUUCCCCGACAAGAAAUUACUUCACUCUUGGGAACCUAGCCCCUGAGACAGAGUACAAUGUCUUAUUUUAUGCUGUCAGCGCAAUACAGAGAGUCUACCACUUACUGGAACGCAAGCAACACUGGUGAGAAUCUCCGACGCUCCCACUGACCUGGCUGUGACGUCCUCCACUCCCACUAGCAUCACCAUCUCCUGGGAUGCCCAGCAGUCACUGUACGCUACUAUAAGAUCACACAUGGAGAAACAGGGGAAAGAGAUACACCCAGAGAGUUCACUGUUCCAGGAACACAGUCCACUGCUACCAUCCCUGGCCUGAAGCCGGACACCGAUUACACCAUCACGCUGUAUGCUGUGACAGGCCGAGGUGACAGCCCAGCCUCCAGCACACCAGUCAUCAUCACACACAGGACUGCAGGUGGAAGUGUUCCAUCCCCAUCGGAUUUAGAUGUUUCUGAUAUUCAAGACAAUACCUUGACCGUCCGAUGGAGCCCAGCUACAGGUCCCAUCACAGGGUAUAGAGUAACAGGGACGCCCAAGGGUGGGCAAGGUCCUACUUUCUCUGAGGUGGUCGGCCCUGAGCGUACUGAAAUGACAAUCAAUGGCUUGGUACCCACGGUGGAGUAUACAAUUAAUGUGGUUGCUAUCAGCCGGGAAGGAGAGAGCACCCCAGUGGUCCAGAAAGCUACAACAGCCAAUGUGCAGCAUCCAAGAGACCUGACCUUCUCUGAUGUGGACUCCACCUCCAUGCUUGUGACAUGGGAUGUUCCACGGGUUCCAGGAGUGACCUCCUAUAGGGUUCUGUACUCAAGUCCAGAGGAGGGAGAACGAGAGUACCAACCAGCCCUAAGUGGUCGUGAUAACAGUGUGGUUCUUCAGGGUCUGCGCCCAGGAACCAAGUACAAUGUUAAAGUCAUUCCCAUGAAAGGACGUUACCCAGUCCGUACCCUUGAGGGUAUUCAGCACACUACCCACGAGGAGACUCAGCCCACUGCUGUUCCUGCUCCGACCAAUAUCCAGUUCCACGAUAUCAGCCCAUCUUCCUUUAUUGUGGCAUGGCAGGCACCCAGGGGCAGACUUUCUGGCUACCGUGUGGUGGUCACCCCAAAGAACCAGUAUCCCACACCCAAAGAAAUGAAUGUUUCACCUGACUCUACACAAGUCUUAGUGCCCGGGCUUAUGGUGGCCACCCCUUAUGAUGUACAUGUCUAUGCACUGAGGGGUUCAGACAGUAGUCCUCCUCUCACUGGAGAAUGCACCACUGCAGACAAUAUAACCCCUCCUCGCAGAGUCCGUGUCACUGAUGUGAAAGACACCUCAUUCACUCUUACAUGGCGCAUUGUUAAUAAUGAGCCAAAUACAGGUUUCUAUAUUGAAGCCACACCCAAAAAUGGAGGAUACCCCACCGUCAGACAAACUGUUCCUGAAAACACACUAACCUACGUUGUCACUGGUUUGCAGCCAGGUGUCUUGUAUGUGGUCAACAUGUACACUCUGAAUGGAAAUAGUCGAUCCCCUCCAUUCACAUUGACUGUAACCACAGCUCGGCCAGCUGUUCAGCCUCCUACCGACCUUCAGUUCACCUCCCUGACCCCCAAUUCCAUCACAUUUACUUGGCAAGCCCCCCCAACACAAAUUACAGGAUAUUACAUCACUUAUGAAGAAUCAGGUGGUCAGCUUCGUGAGCUUCCACGUCUUAACGCUGGCCAGAACUAUGCCACCAUCACUGGUCUGAAACCAGGCACCGAAUACAUCAUUAAGAUCAUUGCCCUGAUGAAUACCCAGAGAAGUGCACCACUGGUUGGCACAGCCACAACUCAGCUGACUUCUGAUCUGCCUAGCCUGCCUCACCAUGGCGGCAUAGACAAGCUGGAUGUGCCUGAGCCUGACAACAGAGUUCACGUAGUGGGUCCCACUGGGCAUGAAUCACCUGAUGCACACGGGCAGCACGUGGAGUACACAGAAUUCAAUAAUCAGCCCAGUCAACCCAACAGAGGCUACCAGCCUCAACAUCGUCAACCUAACCAACCCCGACCCCAGCCUUAUGUGCCUCAAGUUGGGGAGACCCUAGUAUACAUCCCUAAGGUGGGACCCGAUGGGAGUCGUGUACCUCAGAUUAUUCAGGUUAAUGAGAAGCCUGGCGAUGGCCAUCCUUUUGUUUUUUCAGAGGACAGGACAGGAAGACCGCAAGAGGCCCAGACCCAGACCACCAUCUCAUGGCAGCCCUACCAGCAGAGUUCUGGUUAUCUGGUGUCUUGUCAGCCCAUUACCCAUCAAGAUGAGAAGUUGUUCCAGAUGCGUUUCCCGGAAACGUCCACAAGUGCCACCCUGAUUGGUCUCACCUCUGGUGCCUCUUAUAAUGUCAUAGUGGAGGCCUUGAAAGGAGCCCUCAAACACAAGAUUUUGGAGGAAAUCAUCACCGCUGGAAACACAGUACCAGGAGAUGUUUCAUCCAGCAAGGACUCAUGUUAUGACACCUUCACCGCCACUCACCAUGAUGUUGGAGAGGAAUGGGAGCGUAUGUCUGAGACUGGCUUCAAACUCUGGUGCAGAUGUCUUGGCCUGGGAAGUGGACAUUUCAGAUGUGACUCUUCCAAAUGGUGUCACGAUAGUGGAAACAACUACCGCAUUGGUGAAAAGUGGGAGCGACGGGCAGAAAACGGUCACUUGAUGAGCUGCUCUUGCCUUGGCAAUGGUAAAGGAGAGUUCAAGUGUGAACCACAUGAGUCCAUAUGUUACGAUGACGGAAAGAUGUACCAGGUUGGAAACCAAUGGCAGAAGGAAUACUUGGGGGCAAUCUGCACUUGCACAUGCUAUGGAGGACAGCAGGGUUGGCGCUGUGAGAAUUGCAGAAAGCCUGGUGCUGAGAUAACCUCCGAGCUGCUGAAACCUGUCCGCUUAAACAACGGCCACAGGAUGAACAUUCAAUGCCCAAUCGAAUGUCUCCGACCUGAGCUUCUUGCAGAUGCUGUGGCCAAUCCCAAAACCCAAGAGUGAAACCUUUCUGACAGAACUGCACCAUGACUUCCUGCCCCCAUUACGCAAUAUUUCACGUAGGACAUAAGAGAACUAAACACAUACUGCCUUUAAAGCCUCCUGUAUGUUACAUCUGUUCAGUUGCUGCUUUACACAAUGUCUGUUGUGAUGCAUUCAUUGAUUGGCUUUUACUUGUGUUUGCUAGUGUGGAUAAUACAAGUUAAUACAAAUUCCACUUUGUAGUCGGUUAAUACAGUCUACUUUAUACGAAAACUGCAAUGGGAAAGAACAGAUUUCUAAUUCAAUUAAAUUGACAAAAGACUAAAACAUUAUUUUUAAAGGAUUUUAGCCUUUAUGAAUUGAUAGGGCAAUUUACAAAAAAACAAACAAAAAAAAAAAAAAACUACCUUACUAGUAUUUUCAACCUUUAUUAAUUGAAAUGGGCAAAUGUGAGACAUACGGUAGUAGGAGAGAAAAGCACUGUUUUAUAAGAAUGUUAGAGCACCACUGGGGUACCAAAUACCAAGUCUAAAUUUGUUCAUCUUUUUCCCCCCCACAUGGCUCAUUGAUUAUUUAGAGUCAGCACUGUUUUUAGAUUGAUACUGUAUGUUAAUUUUUUUUUUACUAUCCCUUCACUUAGAAGUGUCUGCUUGUAUAGAAUGUUAUUUGUUGCAUUUGACUGUCAAUGUUAUACUGUCAACAGUAUUCGUUACUGUUAAAUACACUUUUUUUUUUGAUUUCACAAAACUCAAGACAAAAUGUAUUUAUAAAACUUCAAAUCAAAAUCUUUUGGAAUGCGAUUCUAAAAUAAACCUUGCAAAAACGAAACAUGUCAAUAAAUGCAAAUAAACUCUUGGAUGGAAUCUUUGAGAAACUA